ACUUAAACUCCUAGCCUUGGUGUCUAAGUUGUCUCGUUGGAUGAAUAACGAACAAUAUGAUGCCUUGGCCGUGGCUUUAAGCCACCAGGGUGCGAGGCAGAAAUGCCUGCAUCUCCCGUAUUUGGAAAGGUGUUAUGGUACAAC
rnacentral:ncRNA from 1 species